rnacentral:rRNA from 1 species
AUUGAACGCUGGCGGCAUGCUUUACACAUGCAAGUCGAACGGCAACACACCUUCAGGUUGUGCCGAGUGGCGACCGGUUGCGUAAUGCAUCGGAACGUACCCAGAGGUGCGGGUUAACGCGGCGAAAGCUAUGCUAAUACAGCCUGUGAUCUGAGGCUGCAAGCGGGGGAACGCACGGCAAUGUUUGACCUCGCGCGUUUGGAGCGGCCGAUGUCGGAUUAGCUAGUUGGCGGGGUAAAGGCCUACCAAGGCGACGAUCCGUAGCUGGUCUGAGAGGACGACCAGCCACACUGGGACUGAGACACGGCCCAGACUCCUACGGGAGGCAGCAGUGGGGAAUAUUGGACAAUGGGCGCAAGCCUGAUCCAGCAAUGCCGCGUGCGUGAAGAAGGCCUUCGGGUUGUAAAGCGCUUUUGGUAGGAACGAAAAGGUGUAGGUUAAUACCGCGCGGUAAUGACGGUACCUGAAGAAUAAGCACCGGCUAACUUCGUG